UACGAAGGGGGCUAGCGUUGCUCGGAAUCACUGGGCGUAAAGGGUGCGUAGGCGGGUCUUUAAGUCAGGGGUGAAAUCCUGGAGCUCAACUCCAGAACUGCCUUUGAUACUGAGGAUCUUGAGUUCGGGAGAGGUGAGUGGAACUGCGAGUGUAGAGGUGAAAUUCGUAGAUAUUCGCAAGAACACCAGUGGCGAAGGCGGCUAACUGGUCCAGAUCUGACGCUGAGGUGCGAAAGCGUGGGGAGCAAACAGG
rnacentral:rRNA from 1 species